GAUGAACGCUGGCGGCGUGCCUAAUACAUGCAAGUCGAGCGAACAGACGAGGAGCUUGCUCCUUUGACGUUAGCGGCGGACGGGUGAGUAACACGUGGGUAACCUACCUAUAAGACUGGGAUAACUUCGGGAAACCGGAGCUAAUACCGGAUAAUAUUUCGAACCGCAUGGUUCGAUAGUGAAAGAUGGCUUUGCUAUCACUUAUAGAUGGACCUGCGCCGUAUUAGCUAGUUGGUAAGGUAACGGCUUACCAAGGCAACGAUACGUAGCCGACCUGAGAGGGUGAUCGGCCACACUGGGACUGAGACACGGUCCAGACUCCUACGGGAGGCAGCAGUAGGGAAUCUUCCGCAAUGGGCGAAAGCCUGACGGAGCAACGCCGCGUGAGUGAUGAAGGUCUUCGGAUCGUAAAACUCUGUUAUUAGGGAAGAACAAACGUGUAAGUAACUGUGCACGUCUUGACGGUACCUAAUCAGAAAGCCACGGCUAACUACGUG
rnacentral:rRNA from 1 species